UACGUAGGGGGCAAGCGUUGUCCGGAAUCAUUGGGCGUAAAGAGCGUGUAGGCGGCUCGAUAAGUCUGCUGUGAAAGUCCAGGGCUCAACCCUGGAAGGCCGGUGGAAACUGUCGGGCUAGAGUCCGGAAGAGGCGAGUGGAAUUCCCGGUGUAGCGGUGAAAUGCGUAGAUAUCGUAAGGAAGACCAGUGGCGAAGGCGGGUCUCUGGACAGUUCUGACGCUGAGGCACGAAGGCCAGGGGAGCAAACGGGG
rnacentral:rRNA from 1 species